GAGAGAUAAGAGGGUGAGAAAGAGAGGUACCUGCAGGCAGACCUACCUCAACUAUUGUGAAGUUACCUUUUGCAGGUGGGGACUGGGGGCUAGAACCCAGGGCUUUGUGCCUGGUCACAUAUGCACUCAGCCAGGCACAUCAUGGCCCAGCUCAUAAAAUUUCUUCAAAUAUGAUUCAUCUCCCUUUCUCUCUUUCUUCUUCUUGUAUCCAUAUGGCAUGAAUAUUGUUCUGACUGAUGCUGCCCCACAACCGUCUUACAUUCAUUUAGUAAUUUUUUUCUUUGCUGUUUUUUUUCUUUUUGGGGGGGGGCUUUGCUUCUUUUACCUUAUCUUCCUGCUUUCUACUUUGAUCUUUGGCAUCUGUCUUCUUGCAGGUGUUCGCCUUAGUUCUGACAUUGCACUCUUUAUUCUGUCUGAUCACCACUGUACAUUUAUCCAUCAAUUUCCUCAUCAUUUGUCUGAAUUUGUUGUAUUCUUCCUCUGUAAUUCUUCUCAAUUCAGUGAACACCUGUAGGCCAUCUCUGAGGCCUUCCUCAGGAGCUUUAUAUACCUGUUGAAUUUCUUCAAGCUGUGGUCCUGGUUCAACACUGCAGGAGUCGGGCGGUAGCAGCCGGUUAAGCGCACGUGGUACAAAGCAAGGACCAGCAUAAGGAUCCCAGUUCGAGCCCUGGCUCCCUACCUGCAAGGGAAUCGCUUCACAGAGCUGUGAUGAACUCUGAUUGCUGCAAAAUGACAUUGCCAGAGUGGGCUCAAAACAUUUCAAGUGGCCUUGUUCUUGGAUGGGAGACACUAAUUGGGAAUGGUGGCUUUCAUUCCGUGGGGCAAGCACUGCUGCGCACAUCUUCCCGCUCUGUGCUGCCCUGGCCCGUUCUCAGCCUACCCUCCGUCCAUACACCAAGAUGAUACUGGUAGUGUUCCUGAGAUCAUCUGUGUAUCCUAUCAGUCCUCUCCGGAGAACCUGUUCUUUCACUCCUUGCCCCUCUCCAUGCAUCUCCUCCUCCCUCCACUCAUCUUUCUCCCACUUCCUUACACACCAAGCAAGCUCUUGUUUCUUGGUGGUGUCUUUACUAUUUUUCUCUCCCAGGGCUGUUCUUUCUGCAGAUGCCCACAUCAGUGGUACUUCUGCAUCCUUAAAUCAUCUACUCA